rnacentral:rRNA from 1 species
UGGGGAAUAUUGGACAAUGGGGGCAACCCUGAUCCAGCAAUGCCGCGUGUGUGAAGAAGGCCUUCGGGUUGUAAAGCACUUUUAUCCGGAACGAAACGCGCUAGAUUAAUAACCUGGUGAACUGACGGUACCGGAGGAAUAAGCACCGGCUAACUUCGUGCCAGCAGCCGCGGUAAUACGAAGGGUGCGAGCGUUAAUCAGAAUUACUGGGCGUAAAGCGUGCGUAGGUGGUUUAUUCAGUCGAAUGUGAAAGCCCCGGGCUCAACCUGGGAACGGCAUCCGAUACUAGCAAACUCGAGUUCGAUAGAGGGUAGUGGAAUUCCCGGUGUAGCGGUGAAAUGCGUAGAGAUCGGGAGGAACAUCAGUGGCGAAGGCGGCUAUCUGGAUCAGAACUGACACUGAAGCACGAAAGCGUGGGGAGCAAACAGG